UGGGGAAUAUUGGGCAAUGGGCGAAAGCCUGACCCAGCGACGCCGCGUGAGGGAAGAAGGUCUUCGGAUUGUAAACCUUUGUCAACAGGGACGAAGCAAUGACGGUACCUGUGAAGGAAGCCACGGCUAACUACGUGCCAGCAGCCGCGGUAAUACGUAGGUGGCGAGCGUUAUCCGGAUUUACUGGGUGUAAAGGGAGCGCAGGCGGGAUGGCAAGUCAGAUGUGAAAUCCAUGGGCUCAACCCAUGAACUGCAUUUGAAACUGUCGUUCUUGAGUAUCGGAGAGGCAAGCGGAAUUCCUAGUGUAGCGGUGAAAUGCGUAGAUAUUAGGAGGAACACC
rnacentral:rRNA from 1 species